CUCAUUCAUUUGUUCAUUCAUUCACUAUACCAUUACUGUCUAUUAUAAGGGGGGCACAAUGGUAGGUGCUGGGAAUAAAAACGAUGUUUAACGUUUCAUGAGGCUUCCCUGUCCUUAAGGAGUCCGCGUGUCUUUGUACCUGUCUGUCUGCUAGAUUAUUAAGUGACACUGUGAGAAGCUACUGAGAGCAGCAUGUGGGACAUGCAGAAGGGCAAGAGGCAGGAGAGAUGAUUCAUGUCGGAGGGGCAGGGGAGGACUGACGGAGAGGGUGAUGUUUGGCUGAGUCAUGAAGGCUAGUGGUAUUUUUCCAUGCAGAGAAGUGGGAGGAAAGGCAUUCUGUGUGGAGGGCACACAGUGUGCAAGGGCAGAGAGGUCAUUAUGUGAAGGCUUUGUGCUACUGCUUCAGAGUUGUGGAACGUGAUGUUGCAAUCUGGGAAAGACGCUGAUGGCAAGGGAUAGCAUCAUCAGGUUGUGCUGCCAUCCCUGAAAGGCCCAGGCUCAAAGGUUUUGGGUGAAGGAAGCCAGGAGGGUUAGAAAGGGAGGAAGAUGCCAGGGCAUCUGGUAAAAUAAAGCAUGUGUCAG
rnacentral:lncRNA from 10 species